rnacentral:lncRNA from 1 species
AUGUCGUUGGAGGUUGUCCUCACGGGGUCCACGUCCUUCUCGCUCAGCACCCGCAUGAGGCUGACGCCGUCGGUCUCCAGGAUCCACUCCUGGAGCGCCUUGAACUCCCCGUCCUCGGUGAUGAUGAUCUUCUUCUUGUUGUCCGUCUGCGGCAGGUGCAUGUACACCUGGCCAGGUGGGGACAGGGGUCACCACGGGCCACCACGGAUCACCACAGGUCAGCAUGGGUCAGCACGGGCCACCAUGGAUCACCACGGGUCACCACAGGUCACCACGGGUCACCAUGGAUCACCACAGGUCACCAGGGGCCACCGCGGAUCACCACAGGUCAGCAUGGGUCAGCACGGGCCACCAUGGAUCACCAUGGGUCAGCAUGGGCCACCACGGGUCACCAUGGAUCACCACGGGUCACCAGGGGCCACCGCGGAUCACCACGGGUCAACAUGGGUCACCAUGGGUCACCACAGGUCACCACGGGUCACCAUGGGCCACCACAGGCCACCAUGGGUCACCACAGGUCAUCAUGGGCCACCACAGGUCACCAUGGGCCACUGUGGGUCAUCAUGGGCCACCAUGGUGUCACCACGGGCCACCAUGGGUCACCACAAAUCACCAUGGGCCACCACGAGCCACUACGGGUCACCAUGGAGCACCACGAUUCACCACGGGCCACCAUGGGUCACCACGGGCCACCAUGGAUCACUGCGGGCCACCACGGGUCAGCAUGGAGUCACCACAGGUCACCAUGGGUCACCAUGGGCCACCACAGGUCACCACAGGCCACCAUGGGUCACCACAGGUCACCAUGGGCCACCAUGGUGUCAUCACGGGUCACCAUGGGUUACCACGGGUCACCACGGGUCAGCAUGGGCCACCACAGGUCAGCAUGGGUCACCACUGGUCACCACGAGUCACCAUGGUGUCACCAUCGGCCACCACGGGCCACCAUGGGUCAACAUGGGUCACCACGGGCCACCAUGGGUCACCAUGGGCCACCAUGGAUCACCACUGGUCACCACGGGUCACCAUGGUGUCACCAUCGGCCACCACGGGUCACCAUGGGCCACCAUGGUGUCAUCACAGGUCACCAUGGAUCACCAUGGGCCACCACGGGCCAUCACAGGUCACCACAGGUCACCACGGGCCACCAUGGUGUCAUCACGGGUCACCAUGGGCCACCACGGGUCACCAUGGGCCACCAUGGAUCACUGCGGGCCACCACGGGUCACCAUGGGCCACUACAGCUGUCCUAGAUCUUCUAAAGGUCUCCUGGAACCUCCCAGAAGUCUCCAUGGAGAGCUCCUGAUGCUCUUCAAGAUCUACCUGGAGAUCUUGGACCCUCAGAGCACCUGGUGGCACCUAAAGACCUUCUCGGGUGCACACAGGGGUCACCAUGAGUGUCCCAAACCUUCUAAAGGUCUCUUGGAACCUCCUAGAAGCCUCCACUGA